UACGAAGGGGGCUAGCGUUGCUCGGAAUUACUGGGCGUAAAGCGCACGUAGGCGGUCUUUUAAGUCGGGGGUGAAAUCCUGGAGCUCAACUCCAGAACUGCCUUCGAUACUGGAAGACUUGAGUCCGGGAGAGGUGAGUGGAACUGCGAGUGUAGAGGUGAAAUUCGUAGAUAUUCGCAAAAACACCAGUGGCGAAGGCGGCUCACUGGCCCGGUACUGACGCUGAGGUGCGAAAGCGUGGGGAGCAAACAGG
rnacentral:rRNA from 1 species